GUACUACCCUGGGUUCCGGGCAGGGGUGGAACUGGAUUCUGCCUGGAUGGGGAUCGGAUGGGGGUGGAGGGCUCUUGGCAUCGUGUUUUCAGGGGCUGCCUCAGAUUGUGCAAAGAAGUGAAGUGGAAAAUUUCAAACUUUUAUUCUACCCAUUCUGUCAUCUACCGUGUAGGCCGGCUACAAACCUCCCCAACAUCCCUGCUGCUAACCCCCUCCAACCAACACUGCAAGUGUCAAACGUUUGAUUUGGGAAGCAGAGCACAGCAGCCCAAAUUUGUUGUAAUGGCGGCGGCUACAGGUAAGGCACUAAAUUGUAAAUAAUUUAAGCUGAGUUUACAUUUUUACAGUGUUGUG
rnacentral:lncRNA from 1 species